GACGAACGCUGGCGGCGUGCUUAACACAUGCAAGUCGAACGGAAAGGCCCUGCUUUUGUGGGGUGCUCGAGUGGCGAACGGGUGAGUAACACGUGAGUAACCUGCCCUUGACUCUGGGAUAACUUCAGGAAACUGGGGCUAAUACCGGAUAGGAGCUCCUGCUGCAUGGUGGGGGUUGGAAAGUUUCGGCGGUUGGGGAUGGACUCGCGGCUUAUCAGCUUGUUGGUGGGGUAGUGGCUUACCAAGGCUUUGACGGGUAGCCGGCCUGGGAGGGUGACCGGCCACAUGGGGACUGGGAGACGGCCCAGACUCCUACGGGAGGCAGCAGUGGGGAAUAUUGCACAAUGGGCGGAAGCCUGAUGCAGCAACGCCGCGUGCGGGAUGACGGCCUUCGGGUUGUAAACCGCUUUCGCCUGUGACGAAGCGUGAGUGACGGUAAUGGGUAAAGAAGCACCGGCUAACUACGUGCCAGCAGCCGCCGUAA
rnacentral:rRNA from 1 species